GUUUUCUUUUUCUUUUUGAAUUAUAUUCAGUCGUUGUUUUAGAGAUAACUAAAGCUCGUUGUCGUGAAGUACAUGUCGAAAUAUUAUUUUAUUUAUGACUAAUCUAGAACCUUUAUUAACAAUAAAAAAUACAGUUAUUUUCUUAAUUGUUUAUAUAUCCAUAUAUAACAAAAUUACUAAAUUGCUUCAUAUACAAUUGAUUUGAUCACUUAAUCUAAAUCUAAAUAUGUUUUUCUUCAAAGCGAGAAUACUUGAACUUUUGCAUAUAUUUUUUUAACUACCAGCAAGCUCGAUAUUACAUAUGAACUCUACUAUUAGCUUUAUAAAUCGCCAUUUAAUCUCAAAAUCGAAACAUUCUUGUUAUUUUUUUAUUCAUCUUGGGUCCUAGGCGUGGAUGUUGUUUUCAUAAUUGUCCACGAAGAACAUGCGAGAUGGUUAAAAAAUAGUAUAUCAUUAGUUAGAGAAUUAACGAAUUAAUUAAUAUGUAAAUUGAUAUGAUCAUCCGUUCAAGGCAAAUUUCCAAAAUAGCACAUUUCUAAGUUUAUAUCACAAAAAUAUCACUCAAAAACUAAAAUGACCAAAAUAGCAUCU
rnacentral:lncRNA from 1 species